UUUAAGUUUUAUAUUUUAUUGUUUCACUUGAUUGGCGAAUGUCCUUUGUAAAAACAGAAGAUGACUCCAAUCCUUGUACUGCUCUUGUUUCAAAAUGUGGGCAUUAGCAAGAAACAUUACCUCGUUGAAACUCAGCAGAAAUUGAGACAAGGAGAAAAUGGCACUGACCUUGAAAGACUUGUACAGGGCUUAAUAAAUGAAGUCAAUGGUUCUGACCUUGGAAGACAAAAGCAGG